AUUUAUUCCGCGUGAGGGAUUGUAGUGGAGCUCUUUUUAUAUUUGGCGAUUUUUCUUCGCCAAAUAUAAAAAAGCGGGAACGGAAAGCCCGACCCGAC
rnacentral:sRNA from 1 species